UGCCCAUCACUGGCUGAGGGUCAGCGCCAGGGGAGGUGAAAUUAUCUGGCUUUUCAGCAAUAGCUGAUGGACAUCAGGCAUUGGAGCCCCACAGAGCAGCAGCCUUGCACAGGGAGGGAAAAUCCAGGAGGCCAUGCACUGGGGAGGUGAUGGCUACAACCAAGUGGAAGCAGUGCUGAUGGCUCUCUGUCUGACCAGUGCCAGGGCCUGGCACAGCUUUCCAUGCUGCUGGGGCCAGUGGCUGUGCUGCUUUUGGGGGACACCAGCCUGGCUGUCCCUGCUUCCAGCCCGGGCUGUGGGGACACGGCAGCGACACGUGCGGUAUCGAGGCCACGCACAGCGCCGGGGCAGGAGGAUGGGAAUUCAUCAGCAGCUCCUUCCCGGCU